GCCGUUCUAGCUCAGCUGGUAGAGCAGCGGUUUUGUAAACCGCAGGUCGUGGGUUCGAAUCCCACGGACGGCU
rnacentral:tRNA from 1 species